CACCCUCCCCCUUCCCUGCUCCUGCCAUGCAAGCUGAGCGCCCUCCCCUGUUUCCCUCUCCCGGCGUCGAGUUUCUCCACUCUGGUGCCCUCCAGCAGGCGAGCAAUAGUGCCAUAGCGAAUCCCCGCGCUCCCUACGUCGGUCUCUAGCCAGCUCCCCCUGCGAGCUCCCUCAGAUCUGGGUCGAUCACCAAGCUCCCUUCCUCUCCCCCAUGGAGAGUUUCCCCCUGCAUCUCCCCAUGGCGCUACUACCUCCAGGACGGAGCUCGACACCCCAAAGGUUGGAAUCCGACCCCCUCUCUGUUCCCCUCAAUUUCGAGCUUCCCUGGCGUUUUUUGCCCUGCAGAAAUUCCCCCCUGGGCGCUGGAGGCGCCUAGCUCACGCUGGAGCACGCAAGGCUUGACCGACGCCCUUUCCAUGGCUGGCUUUGAGCAGUGGGCCGAGCCCCUCUUCUUGCCAUGGCACUUGACCCUGCUCCUCCUCUCUUCCCCCACAAAGCAGCAGCCGCAGCAGCUCUUUCUCCAUGGACGCCCACACCCCACUGUUUUCCCUCCUUUUCCCCAUCGUUGUGCAGCCCCACUGUGGCGAACGCCGCUGUUCCUGCAGCUCGUGCAUCGCGGCGCGCGUCAUGUGUUCGACAUAAUGCUAAAAAGGGGCAUUGUGUCGUGGACAGCGCCUUGGUGGUGCCCUGUGUCCUCGCUACUCGCUGCACAGCCUCGUCUUGCGCUUGCCUACUCUCCAAGCAGCACCAGUAGCAGCGCUCCUUGCGCUCGACCUCGGCAAGGACGAGCAGCCCCAUCCUCGACGCCAAAAUUCUUCGGUGAGACCUCGCUGUUCCGUGUUGCUUGAUUUUAUAAAAUAACUGAACAAAUAAGCCAUGAAAUAAUUGU